AGUAUAUGUCUUAUUUCUUGACCCUCCCCCCAUCUCAUCUGAUCUCAGAAGCUAAGCAGGGUCAGGCCUGGUUAGUACUUGGAUGGGAGAAUUUGCUUAUUGGGCUCACAUCCUU
rnacentral:rRNA from 1 species